CUUGAGAUGAGGGAGCAGAGAUAGAGAGAUUCUCAAAAGACACUGGGCAGCAUUUUCAAGGUUGGACAGAUGAUGUACCAUAGAGGUGCACAAACUGGACAUCCAACCGAUAACUACUGAUUCUCAAGAACUGUGAAGAGCUACCAUCACCCAAGAGAAAACAGAGCCACACAUGGCACCAGAUGCUGCCGGAGAGCCUGGAUAUUCCACGGGUGAAAGGAGACCUGAUCUGCAGCUAUGCCCCGUGUGUGCGUGUGUGAGUGAGUGAGUGAGAG